GGGGGAUAUUGCACAAUGGAGGAAACUCUGAUGCAGCAACGCCGCGUGAGUGAUGAAGGUUUUCGGAUCGUAAAGCUCUGUUGCCAGGGAAGAACGUCCUGUAGAGUAACUGCUACAGGAGUGACGGUACCUGAGAAGAAAGCCCCGGCUAACUACGUGCCAGCAGCCGCGGUAAUACGUAGGGGGCAAGCGUUGUCCGGAAUUAUUGGGCGUAAAACACGCGCAGGCGGCUGUUUAAGUCUGGUGUUUAAUCCUGGGGCUCAACCCCGGGUCGCACUGGAAACUGGACGGCUUGAGUGCAGAAGAGGAGAGUGGAAUUCCACGUGUAGCGGUGAAAUGCGUAGAGAUGUGGAGGAACACCAGUGGCGAAGGCGACUCUCUGGGCUGUAACUGACGCUGAGGCGCGAAAGCGUGGGGAGCAAAC
rnacentral:rRNA from 1 species